rnacentral:rRNA from 1 species
UACGUAGGCAGCAAGCGUUGUUCGGAAUUACUGGGCGUAAAGCGAGUGUAGGCGGUUCGAUAAGUUUGGUGUGAAGUCUCCCGGCUCAACUGGGAGGGUGCGCCGAAGACUGUCGAGCUAGAGUGUGGGAGAGGUAGGCGGAAUUCCUGGUGUAGCGGUGAAAUGCGUAGAUAUCAGGAGGAACACCUGCGGUGUAGACGGCUUACUGGACCACGACUGACGCUGCAACUCGAAAGUGUGGGGAGCAAACAGG